rnacentral:rRNA from 1 species
AACGAACGCUGGCGGCAGGCCUAACACAUGCAAGUCGAGCGAGGACUUCGGUUCUAGCGGCGGACGGGUGAGUAACGCGUGGGAAUGUGCCCUUCUCUACGGAAUAGCCCUGGGAAACUGGGAGUAAUACCGUAUACGCCCUAUUGGGGAAAGAUUUAUCGGAGAAGGAUCAGCCCGCGUUGGAUUAGGUAGUUGGUGGGGUAAUGGCCUACCAAGCAGACGAUCCAUAGCUGGUUUGAGAGGAUGAUCAGCCACACUGGGACUGAGACACGGCCCAGACUCCUACGGGAGGCAGCAGUGGGGAAUCUUAGACAAUGGGGGCAACCCUGAUCUAGCCAUGCCGCGUGAGUGAUGAAGGCCUUAGGGUUGUAAAGCUCUUUCAGCUGGGAAGAUAAUGACGGUACCAGCAGAAGAAGCCCCGGCUAACUCCGUG